rnacentral:lncRNA from 13 species
AUGGAAUGUAAAAGUCCAAGUGUGGACAUGCGCUGCUGCUUAGUGCUACUUCAGGGACCUAGGAAGACAGGGUGUCUGCCCUUCCUUGGGACAUCUCCAUUCAACAGCCACAGUGAAAAACAAAAUGUGCAAGAAAGCACCACAGGGAGGGUACCUCUUUCUGCUUCCUUUCUUCCUCCCUUCCUCCCUGUGCCUCUCUUUUUUUUUUCUUUUGCUGAAAUACCCAUAUUUCUUUGAAAAAAAUUAAAAAUUUUCAAAUAGAACACCACAUCAAAGAAAAAAAAUUAAUGAAGUACCAUGGAUCCAACAAACCUUUUUUCAUGUUUAUUCACCCAGCAAAUCCACAUACAUUUAAUGUUUGUGGAUUUUUUUUUCUUUGAGACAGAAUCUCACUCUGUUGUUCAGUGCAGUGGUGCAAUCUCAGCUCACUGCUACCUCUGCCUCUUGGAUUCAAGCAAUUCUCCUGCCUCAGCCUCCUGAGUAAUUGGGAUUAUAGGUGUGCACCACCACAUUGGGCUAAUUUUUGUAUUUUUAGUAAAGACAUGUCUCACCAUGUUGGUCAGGCUGGUCUCAAACUCCUGACCUCAUGAUUCAUCUGCCUCAGCCUCCCAAAGUGCUGGUAUUACAGGUGUGAGCCACUGCACCUGGCCACACGUGGAUUAUUUUAAAGCAAAGUUUAGACAUCUUCUCACUUCUUUCUUAUGCAUAAUCUUGAAUUGAUAGUUUCUUCCUUUAUAUGUAACCAGAAUACCUUAUCAUACAAAUACAAUUAACAGUAUUUCCACAAUGUCAUCUACAAUGACAUCUGUAAACACAUUUCUCAAUCAUCUCACGUCUUUUUUAUAAUUGACUUAUUUGAAUGAAGACACCCACAUGAAAAAGCUCCCCCUGUUGCAGUUGGUUGGUAUGCCAAUUGAGGCUUUUAACUAUACUUGAAUUUCCAGCUGGCACUCUGGGCAGCAGCCACAUCCCUUCAGUCUCCAUAGAGGGUCACUCUGUCGAUGUGUACACAGGCUAGAAGUGCCAUAAAAUAAAGAUCAUCCAUCGAGAACCCCCCA